AUGCAGUGUAGCAGGGCACUUUUUCCUGCUGAAAGAGACCACUGCUAUCAGGGAACACCAUCACCAUGAAGGGGUCUACGUGGUUUGCAACAAUCUCUAGGUGGGUGGUACAUGUCAAAGUAACAUCCACAUGAAUGCCAUAACCCAACGCUUCCCAGCAGAACAUUGCCCAAAGCAUAACACUGCCUCUGUCGGCCUGCUUUCCUCCCAUAGUGCAUCCUACUGCCAUCUCUUCUGCAGGUAAAUUAUGCACAUGCACCCGGCUGUCCACCUGGUGUUAAAGAAAACAUGAUUCAUCAGACUAGUCAACUUUCUUCCAUUUCUCCAUGAUCCAGUUCUGGCACUCAUGCCCCCAUUGAAGGAACUUUGCUUGCCCAUUUUGCCAUGAAAGGAUGUACAUGCUUUGCAAAAAUCUCUUGCCAGGUGGCACGUGUCAAAGUGACACUGGCUUCUUCCCAUAGUGCAUCCUUCUGCCAUCUCUUCCUCAGGUAAAUGAAGCACAUACACUAGGCCAUCCACCUAAUCUAAAAGAAAGCACCAUUAGACCAGGCAACCUUCUACUAUUUUUCCAUGGUCUAGUUCUGAUGCUCACG